GAGGGAGGGAGGCGACGGCACCGGCACCGGGACGGGUUGGACCGGAGCGGAGCGGGCCCAGCGGGGCGCUGGGUCGGGCCGAGCCCCUCAGGUGCUGUCCCAGCGCCCCGCUCCUGGCUAACCAGCACCAGUUCUUCAGUGGCAAGCUUUAUGUCCUUCUCUAGUAGCUAAAGCUGCCAGUUGAAGAACUGUUGAAUGUAGCCACACUCAUCACCGGGACCUUGGAUGCUGGCCGGACCUGCGCCCUCAGCAACCGGGAUGAGCAGCGUUUGAAGGCUGAGGAUGAGUGUAACCGGGAUGAAGGCGUCUCCUUCAGACAGAGCCGUGGUGCUGAGCUGAGGGCUGCCUAGAGAAGACCAAAAGAGGCAUUAAACUUUAUGUGCUCCUCAACA